rnacentral:lncRNA from 13 species
AUGCCGGGAAUUGCGGUGGGAUUUGGGAUGGAGCGGGGAGAGGAGAAGCUGCACAGCAGGAGAGCGGGGGGAUCCUGGGAUCCCGGGAUCCCGGAAUUCCAGCCUGGAUUGGGUGGGAUGGGACCUUCAAUCCCAUCCCAUCCCGACCCCACGGUGAUCCCGGGAUGCUCCAAACUUUCCUUGGAUCCGGGAAUUCUCUGGGAAUUCCAGCCCAGCCGGGAAUCCCUUCCCAAAUCCCAGCCCGAGCUCCCCUUUCCCACUGAAGCCAUUCCCUGUUUCCCAUCCCUUUAUCCCAAAUUCCCGCUCUCCCGGAGCCCCUCCGGCCUCGGGAAGCGGCUCCAAGGAUUCCCCGGAUCCUCUGGAAUAUCCCGAAUUCCCGGGAUUUCCCCAGCGCUGGGAGCAUUCCCAGUUUCCCACCGGGAACCUUUCCCAAGGAGCUUUUCCAUAGGGGACGAGCUCAGGGAUUUCCCGGGAUUUCGGACGGGAAUAACCGGGAGCAGAAAAACCCGGGAAUGGCCCCCGAAAAUCUGGGAAUUCCCUCCUUUCCUUGCGUUUUCCAAGGGAAUCCCGGGACGGGCAUUUCUCCCAGGUUUUCCCUCCAAGCCUGCAACGUUUGGAAUUCCCGGUGGGAACAUCCCAAGGAAAAGCCGGAGCGGGAUUCGGGAUCGGGAUCCCCUUGGAGCGAAUUCCAGGCUGGAAUCGGAAUCCUGGGAAUUCCGGGGGGGUUUUCCAUGGAANAGCCCCCCGAGCCCCCUCAGAGCCGCGGCGCCGCUCUCUCACCUCAGCGCCGCCUCCGCCAUGGCCGCCGCCCGCCUUCCCGCCGCGCGCCUUCGAACCGCCCGCGCUCCGCUCCCAUUGGCUGAGCGCCGCGUCAAUCAACGGGACCUAGACUGCCAUUGGUCGAGCGGCGCGCGGCGCCGCGUUGGACCCGCCCCUCCGCCUCUGCAGCCAAUCAGAGAGCGCGGCUCCCAAGCGCGGGCGCGCGGUGAGACUACGACUCCCGGUGUGCUUUGCGAGAACAGAGCGGGGGGGGGGGUUCCGCUCUUUUUGGCGCGCGGGGGAUGA